rnacentral:rRNA from 1 species
GACAGAGGGGGCAAGCGUUGCUCGGAAUUACUGGGCGUAAAGGGCGCGUAGGCGGCGCUGUAAGUCACUUGUGAAAUCUCCGGGCUUAACUCGGAACGGUCAAGUGAUACUGCAGUGCUAGAGUGCGGAAGGGGCAAUCGGAAUUCUUGGUGUAGCGGUGAAAUGCGUAGAUAUCAAGAGGAACACCUGAGGUGAAGACGGGUUGCUGGGCCGACACUGACGCUGACAGCGCGAAAGCCAGGGGAGCAAACGGG